AAGACGUGCAAAAUCUCUGUACAGGGCUCCCUUUUCCAUAUGGGGAAUUUCACUUCAUGUUGUUUUCCCAUAUAUCUGGAGUGCUUAAGAUCCCUUCUGAUUUUACUGCACCAAAGGCAACAUCUCCAGUCUUCUCCAAAGUAGGGAAAUGGGGUCAUUUGGUCACAUGAGGGUGAGACUCUUAAUUAGUUUGGUCUUCUCUCCCUUUUCAGCCUCAUCUCUCACCCCCGCCAUUGGAGUUACCUGGUUCCUCCAGAUUCCAAGCUUCCCUGUGGUUCCAAGGGUACGUGGCCAGCAACCAGAGUCUGCAGGCAUGGUCUAUGGAGGUAAAUCAUACCAGCAACAUGUCUCUAAUCUUUGUUCCGUUUGGGCUGCAGCUUCCAUUGUGCUGGCCCUGUACUCGAGGGUGCAGUUUUAUCUGUUGUCCAUCAAUACUUAACCAAAC
rnacentral:lncRNA from 1 species